GACAGAGGGUGCAAACGUUGUUCGGAAUUACUGGGCGUAAAGCGCGUGUAGGCGGCCAGAUAGGUCUGCUGUGAAAACUCGAGGCUCAACCUCGAGCUGUCGGCGGAAACCAUCCGGCUAGAGUCCGGAAGAGGAGAGUGGAAUUCCCGGUGUAGCGGUGAAAUGCGCAGAUAUCGGGAAGAACACCAGUGGCGAAGGCGGCUCUCUGGGACGGUACUGACGCUGAGACGCGAAAGCGUGGGGAGCAAACAGG
rnacentral:rRNA from 1 species